GGCGGACGGGUGAGUAAUGUCUGGGAAACUGCCUGAUGGAGGGGGAUAACUACUGGAAACGGUAGCUAAUACCGCAUAACGUCGCAAGACCAAAGUGGGGGACCUUCGGGCCUCAUGCCAUCAGAUGUGCCCAGAUGGGAUUAGCUAGUAGGUGGGGUAACGGCUCACCUAGGCGACGAUCCCUAGCUGGUCUGAGAGGAUGACCAGCCACACUGGAACUGAGACACGGUCCAGACUCCUACGGGAGGCAGCAGUGGGGAAUAUUGCACAAUGGGCGCAAGCCUGAUGCAGCCAUGCCGCGUGUGUGAAGAAGGCCUUCGGGUUGUAAAGCACUUUCAGCGGGGAGGAAGGCGUUAAGGUUAAUAACCUUGUCGAUUGACGUUACCCGCAGAAGAAGCACCGGCUAACUCCGUGCCAGCAGCCGCGGUAAUACGGAGGGUGCAAGCGUUAAUCGGAAUUACUGGGCGUAAAGCGCACGCAGGCGGUCUGUCAAGUCGGAUGUGAAAUCCCCGGGCUCAACCUGGGAACUGCAUUCGAAACUGGCAGGCUAGAGUCUUGUAGAGGGGGGUAGAAUUCCAGGUGUAGCGGUGAAAUGCGUAGAGAUCUGGAGGAAUACCGGUGGCGAAGGCGGCCCCCUGGACAAAGACUGACGCUCAGGUGCAAAAGCGUGGGGAGCAAACAGGAUUAGAUACCCUGGUAGUCCACGCCGUAAACGAUGUCGAUUUGGAGGUUGUGCCCUUCAGGCGUGGCUUCCGGAGCUAACGCGUUAAAUUGACCGCCUGGGGAGUACGGCCGCAAGGUUAAAACUUAAAUGAAUUGACGGGGGCCCGCACAAGCGGUGGAGCAUGUGGUUUAAUUUGAUGCAACGCGAAGAACCUUACCUGGUUUUGACAUCCACAGAACUUUCCAGAGAUGGAUUGGUGCCUUUGGGAACUGUGAGACAGGUGCUGCAUGGCUGUCGUCAGCUCGUGUUGUGAAAUGUUGGGUUAAGUCCCGCAACGAGCGCAACCCUUAUCCUUUGUUGCCAGCGGUUCGGCCGGGAACUCAAAGGAGACUGCCAGUGAUAAACUGGAGGAAGGUGGGGAUGA
rnacentral:rRNA from 2 species